rnacentral:misc_RNA from 1 species
GAUGAAGAACGUAGCGAAAUGCGAUACUUGGUGUGAAAUGCAGAAUCCCGUGAACCAUCGAGUCUUUGAACGCAAGUUGCGCCUCAAGCCAUUAGGUUGAGGGCACGUCUGCCUGGGCGUCACAUAUCGUUGCCUGAUGCCAGUUUCCUCGUGAUGGGUGACUGUGCAGGGCGAAUGAUGGCUUCCCGUGAGCAUUGUUGCCUCAUGGUUGGUUGAAAAUUGAGUCCUUGGUAGGGAGCGCCGUGAUAGAUGGUGGUUGAGUGACGAACGAGACCCAAUCAUGUGAGACCCCUACCGAAUUUGGCCUUCAUGACCCACAUGCGUCUUUGGAACGCUCAUGACGAGACCUCAGGUCAGGCGGGGCUACCCGCUGAGUUUAAGCAUAUCAAUAAGCGGAGGA